UUCGCCAAUUAUUCUUAAAUCUCGCUAGCACAAUUCUGGAAGAAGAAACCACAAGAAUCCAAAAUAAAAAACCCUACAAGGGCAUGGAUGGGCUUAUAUACUACUUCCAACUAGGCUCACAAGCCCAUGACCCAACUUGGAAGUGGGGGGCUUAAUGAUGUGUCUAAUCAUAAUUAGGCCCAUAAACCUAAUUAAGAUUAGGCCCAAAUUGCCCUAAAUUAAUCUAAUUGUGUGAAAACUCAAUUACAUUACUUUUAACCUAUAAAAGUAACAACACAUUGUCCCACAUCGGAUUUUUACAAAAAGUCCUACCUAUUCAUCCACCUAUAAAUAUAUGUGUCAUUUCACAUAGGAAGGUACACUCUAAUUUGGCAAUUAAUAAUUACUAUUUGCUUAUAUUAAUACAUCUUCUGACUUGAGCGUCGGAGGAUAAUCGCCGGGCCAAACCCGGCGUGUCAUCUAGUGUUUCAAUUGUUUUGUAGGUUAACGAACGGAGCAAUCCCUUCGACUACCUCGGACACGUGGCAGUGACUCACGGCAUUCUCUAUCUUUGUGGGCUCAAGGACAUUUGGGUUGCCCAAUUGGCAUUUGAGCAGCAUCAGGCAGUGAUGUGGCAGCGGUUUGGUAGAGAAGAUAAAUGUGAGACGGUGGCGAAUAAUAGUGGCCUACCGGAGAAGAAAAUUGUCAGGCGGUGGUGAUGUGGCGGUGAUCCGGUGAAGAAGAGAUAAAGAGAGUAUGAAAUAUGCUUUCUUUUCCUUUUAAACGAAUCGAAGAAGAAUUAAGAAGCUUGAAGAGUGAAGAGUAAUGGAAGUGUGUUGUGGGUGUGGGCGACCGCUGAAGGACAUAGUUUAGAGGAUUAUGAUUUAGGAUUAGUAAUAUUGAAAUAUCUAUAUUUUAAUAUAAUAAUUAUUAAAUAAUAUCUAAAUAAUAUCAUGAGAGGCGAGGUCGAAAUUCAUCGAGCCAGGUCAAAUUGCCAUUCCUAAUGUUAAGGAUCUGAGGCACGUAUGCCAUAACGGGCCUUUGGAAAAAGAACUCAAUUCUGU
rnacentral:lncRNA from 1 species